rnacentral:rRNA from 1 species
UACGGAAGGCAGCAGUGGGGAAUAUUGCACAAUGGGCGCAAGCCUGAUGCAGCCAUGCCGCGUGUAUGAAAAAGGCCUUCGGGUUGUAAAGUACUUUCAGUCGUGAGGAAGGUGUUAAGGUUAAUAACCUUAGCAAUUGACGUUAGCGACAGAAGAAGCACCGGCUAACUCCGUGCCAGCAGCCGCGGUAAUACGGAGGGUGCGAGCGUUAAUCGGAAUUACUGGGCGUAAAGGGCACGCAGGCGGUUAAUUAAGUUGGAUGUGAAAUCCCCGGGCUUAACCUGGGAAUGGCAUUCAAGACUGGUUAGCUAGAGUCUUGUAGAGGGGGUAGAAUUCCAUGUGUAGCGGUGAAAUGCGUAGAGAUGUGGAGGAAUACCGGUGGCGAAGGCGGCCCCUGGACAAAGACUGACGCUCACGUGCGAAAGCGUGGGGAGCAAACGAGGGAUUAGAUACC